rnacentral:lncRNA from 10 species
UGUUGAGACAUCUCAGUUACAAAGUGACACCUACAGCCCAAGUCUUCAUUUCUAAAUACCAUUCUACUUGUAGAAAUGAAUGAUUCUUGGGUUAAUAUAAGAAAUCUGGAAUGUUUUCUUGCCUAGAAAAUAAUAAAAUGCUUUUAAAAUGAUGAGAAAAUUAGAGAAACCAAAAAAGUGCUCCCACUGACCAAAUCAGGAUCAUUAAAAAAUAUAUUUUUCAACUUUUUAAAAAAAUUUUUAUGGGUACAUAGUAGGUGCAUAUAUUUAUGGGGUACAUGAGAUGCUUUGAUACAGGCAUGCAAUGUGAAAUAAGCACAUCAUGGAGAAUGGGGUAUCCAUCCCCACAAAAGCAUUUAUCCUUUGAGUUACAAACAACCCAAUUACACUUUAUUUUAAAAUAUACAUUAUCAUUGACUAUAGUCACCCUAUUAUGACAUCAAAAAGUAGAUCUUAUUAAUUCUAUUUUUGUUUGUUUGCUUUUACCCACUAACCAUCCCUACCUCCUUCUAACCCCCCUCUACACUACCCAGCCUCUGGUAACCAUCCUUCUACUCUCUAUGUUCACUAGUUCAAUCGAUUUGAUUUUCAGAUCCCACAAAUUAGUGAAAACAUGCAAUGUUUGUCUUUUUGUGCCUGGCUUAUUUCACUUAACAUAAUAAUCUCCAGUUCCACUCAUGUUGUUGCAAAUGACAGGAUCUCAUUCUUUUUAUGGCUAGCUGAAUAGUACUCCAUUGUGUAUAAAUACCACAUUUUGUUUAUGCAUUCGUCUGUUGAUGGACACUAAGGUUGUUUCCAUAGCUUAGUAAACUGUGCUGUAACAAAAUCUUAGCUUAGUUAACAGUGCUACAACAAACAUAGGAGUGCAGAUAUCUCUUCAAUAUACUAAUUUCUUUUUUUUCUGGUGGGGGAUGGGGAUAUCUAUCCAGCACUGGGAUUACUGGAUCAUAUGGAAGCUCAAUUUUAGUUUUUUGAGGAAUGUCCAAACUGUUCUCCGUAGUGGUUGUGUCAAUUUACAUUCCCACAAACAGUGUACAAGAGUUCCUUUUUCUCCACAUUCUUGCCAGUCUUUGUUAUUUCCUGUUGUUAGGGUAAAAGCCAUUUGAAUUGGAGUGAGACGAUCAUCUCAUUAUAGUCUUGAUUUGCAUUUCUCUGACAAUCAGUGAUGUUGAGCACUUUUUCAUAUGGCUGUUCACCAUUUGUAUGUCUUCUUUUGAGAAAUGUCUAUUCAAAUCUCUUGCCCAUGUUUUGAUCAGAUUACUAGAAUUUUUUCCUAUAGAGUUGUCUAAGCUCCUUAUAUAUUCUAGUGAUUAUUCCGUUGUCAGAGGGGUAGCUUGGAAAUAUUUUCUCCCAUUAUAUGGGUUGUCUCUUCACUUAGUUUAUUGCAUAUUUUGCUUUGCAGAAUCAUUUUAACUUGAUGUAGUCCCAUUUGUCCAUUUUUGCUUUGGUUGCCUGUGCUUAUGGGGUAUUGCUCAAGAAGUCUUUGCCCAGACCAAUGUCCUGGAGAUUUUCUCCAAUGUUUCCUUGUAGCAGUUUUGUAGGGAGGGAGGGAGGGAAGGAGGGAGAGAAGGAGGGAGGGAAGGAGGGAGGGAAGGAAGGAAGGAAGGAAAGAAGGAGGGAAGGAAGGAAGGAAGGAAAGAAGGGAGGGAGGGAGGGAGAGAGGGGACAGGGAGGAAGGGAGGGAAGCAAGCGAAGAAGGAGGGGAAGAAGGAAGGGAGUAAAGAAAUUUUAAUAGAGUUAGAAAUUCAUUAUUUUACAACAAACUUUAAUAAUAAUUGAUUCAGGAAAUAAUUAUCAAUAGAUGAAAGUUUCUUAGGAAAUAAAAUAUGUAUACAAUUUCAAAGCAUCUUCUCCACAGAUUACUUAAUUACAGAAAGGAAGGGGGUACUUUUCAAUGGAGCAAGUUACGGAAGUUAACAUCACCAAUAAUGGGACAAACAGACAUCAUGUGUAUCGUGAUAAGUUGCACUAAGAAGAACCUAUCAUAACUUCUGCAAUAUCCUUGCCAAAAUUCAUAACUGAAUCUAAUCAUAAGCCAAUAAUCUGACAAACCCAAAUUGAUGGAAUUCUAUAAAACCACCAGCUGUUCUCUUAAAAAAAGUCAAUGUUAUGAAAAGACAAAGAAAAAUUGAAACUGAAGAUACAUGGCAACUAAAUCCAUGUCAUAAUCCUAGAUUGGCUCCUGAAUUGGGGUGGGAGGGUGGGGAGGGAACAGUAUUGGAAGGAUAAACAAAAUUGAAAUAUGACUGUAUAUUAGAUAACAGUAUUAAAUCAAUUAAAUUUUCUGAAUUUGAUUAUUGCCCUAAGUUAUGUAAAAAAUAUAUACUUGUUCUUAAGAGAUAUAUGGUGAAGUAUUUAGGAUAAGGUCAUGGUCAUGAUGUCUGCAACAUUUAAAAUUAGUUCAACAAUGAUGAUAAUACAUAUUAUAUAACAAUGAUACAUACAUACAUAUAGACAUAUUAUUGUACAAUUCUUGCAAUUCUUCUGUAGCUUUAAAUUUUUUUCAAGCUAAAAGAAAAGUGCAAAUUUCAGGAUUUAGGCUUGAGCUGUUGUAGCACCAACAGAUGGCUAGUUGAGUAUGAGGACAACCUCACCCAGGGAAGUCCCUGGCUCUGGGCUAUGCCCAGGCAUCCAUGACUAGUGUUCAUUCUCCAGUGCUGCCUGUCUGCAUCUCAUUCGUCUCAAGGUUCAUAAAUUUCGAGAGAACUUUAUUUCUUAUAAAGUGUUUCAGCCUGCAGGGAAGUAUAGAUACCCUCCAGCAGAGGCGAAAAACAAGUCACUUUGGAGGAAAGGUAAGACAGGAAUUUAUGCUACGCAGGUUAGCUAGGUAUAUAUAUUCAACAGGUUAUAAGAGGAGAUAUGAAUAUUGACAAAGGGGGACACCUGCAUGUGUAUUAAGCAAACGUGCAUGCAUGCAUCUUUGGCAUAGAGACUUAACAUUUAAACGUAUUUAGGCCCAAUAUGUCAAAAGGUGAAGCUCAAUAUGUCAAAAGGUGAAGCAGCAGAGGCUAAGACACUCAGUGUGCAGCCUCUGUAAACUGGCCAGAACAAGUCCAUGAUCAGUAGUCUCUCAUCAGCAGAAAGUUACUGAAAUCAGUCUCUUGUCAAAUCAAAGCUGUACUUAUGGCUUGUGGAAUAGGGGUGGGAGAGUUAUCAGUCAACAUCUGGCAGUCAGUGAGCUGCAAAUGUUUUAAUAUUGCUUAUCUCAAGGUAUGGCCUUAGGGGACUUGUUUAUAAUUUGGUGCCAUAUUGUCACAGAGUCCAUUCCAUCAGUAUUAUCAUCUCUAUUAUAACAUCUAUUACUUGCUAAUAGAAACUCCUUUUCCUGCAGAAGAACGUGGUGCCCAGCACCAGUCAUUACCAAGUAAUUCCUGAGAUUCCCUAAUAAGCAGAAAUGACCAUGUGACACAAUUCUUGACAAUGAAAGCAUACAUGGAAGACUGUUGGGGACCCUGGAAAGACUUUCACUUUAUCUGGUAAGACAAGAGGAUCCCUCUUCCCUUUAUCCUGCCUCAAAUGUGGACAUGAAUGAGUGAGGAAAAGCCUAUGAAAGUCUCCCAAAGUCUAUAUUUAAGACACUAUCAAUAUCUGCAACUGCAUUAUUCUAAAUUUCUUGCUUUGUUAAAAAAAUUAUUUAUUUAAACAUUACUUAGUUUUGUUGCACACAACCUAAUACAUUCUUAACAAAUACAGCAGUUAGGAACAUGAUAGUAAUAUUAGGCUUCUGAGAACCAGCUCAAUGGGAUGUCCAAUCAAAAAUUGGCUAUGUGUGUCAAAGAGUGUUUUCUUAGGUGUCUUGUAUUUUGGGAGGAUGGAGGGAGGAGGGAGUAGAACGGAGGACAAUAUAAGAUCAGAAGAUCCGUCUUAAACAUUUCAGUUUAAACAUUUUGGUACAUUUAAUAAGUAAUGUUUUUUAGAAUUGUCAUCCAGGACAUUUUCCUUCUCCCAAUUUCUUCUUUUUAUAAAGUGCAGAUCAGCAUUUUGUUCACUAUUCACUGCAGCUAUACCUGAAAUCAUUUGCCUAUAUUUGUUUUGUUGUUGUUGUUGUUUAUAUUUUGAACACACAAGGAGGCAAAGGAACAGGUAAGUAAGGAAUUAUGGCACAGCCCAGUUUGAUUCUGUUUGGAACUGGAAGGCCGUUCUGGAAACAAACCAGAACUGGGGACUGUAUUAUUUUAUCUCAACAGCAGCCAAGUGAACUUUCAUCUCAAUGUAACUUAAGCAACUCUCCAGCUGUUUCUCUCUGUGUUUCUAUACUCUGCUUUUACUCUAUCAAGGGACAACUUACCAUUUGAUCAGUUCUCUCCACCUCAUUCUUACUCAUGUUUUCUGCUUUUCUGAAUGUUGGCUCUUGUGUGCCUCCUUCUGCUUUAAGCCUCUUUGUAUCCUUUCAGCUUCCUCUCUCACUGCCAGCCAGUACUUAGAAUUACCUGGUUUAGAAUCUGGAGCAAGGAUGUGAAGUGACCCAGCUCAUCAUGGUUGAGAAAAGCUAUCUCCAAGGCCAGAAGUCAGCAUUUUUUUUUCAUUUGGAUAAAGAUUCUGCUGCUGGUCCAGUUAAUCAUUGUAGCUGGGAAGGGUCACAUAGUAAUAGGCCAGAUCUCUCUUUCUGCAAUGACCAUAGGUGAGGCGGCUUCCUUCAGAAGGGGACUUUAGAGAAAACUAAGGUAACUAACUCAUUUAGCACUUGUAUCAUCAAAAAAAGAAAAAGCUGGCCGGGCGCAGUGGCUCAUGCUUGUAAUCCCAGCACUUUGGGAGCCUGAGGUGGGUGGAUUGCUUGAGUUCAGGAGUUCAAGACAAGCCUGACCAACAUAGUGAAACCCCAUCUCUACUAAAAAUAAAAAAAAACUUAGCCAGGUGUGGUGGCCAGGGCCUGUAAUCCCAGCUACUCAGGAAGCUGAGGCAGGAGAGUCACUUGAACCCGGGAGGUGGAGGUUGUAGUGAGCUGAGAUUCCACCACUGCAGUUCAAUCCAGCCUGGGCGACACAGUGAGACUCCGUCUCAAAAAAAAAGAAAGAGCUAAGAAAGAGUGAGUAUACUGGCAUGCACAGAAUAACUUCCUAUCCACACUUGAAAAACCAGAUAUGUAGGAUAAUUGUAGAAUAAAAUUAGAUAAUAAAUAGGUUUAUGAAUAGCUGGUUUAAUUUAGAAAGAUGACUCCUAUUUUCCUGCUGUUGUAUCAAAUGACUGGGUUUAUUUUCUCUAAGACCUUAGUAACACACGCUUGAAAAAGAUUAUCACUUUUGCUUGGAAUAUAAAUGUUGAACUGUCAAAAUCAUAAAAACUCUAUAAAACAAUUUUUUGGAAAAACCUAAUAGAAAAUAGAAAUGUAUAAAUAUGAUAAAGAGGUCAAACACAAAUGCUAAUCAAGAAAGUAGGUGAAAUAGACCAGUAUUCAGCAAUUUCUCUCCCACAGUAAUCUUAAUUUCAUUUGGAAUUUAAUCCGCAAAAUUUCUUCUUUUCCAAAUCCCAUUUAGAAUAAUAUCUGUUGAUAAUUUUCAGCUUUUUAGGCAAUGUGCCCAGAUGAAGAGACGUCUUCUCUGAAGUACUGUUUCCCCUCUUAUUUAGCAUCUUUACAAAACAAUAACAAAUCUCAAUUAUUUCAUGCUGAGUUAACAUUUCAGUACAUUUAUAAGGUAAUGUAAAUUUAGAGUAGUUGUCCAGGACAUUUUCCUUCUCCUAACUUCUUUUGUAAGUCUUAUAGUUGAAAGGUAUGGUAUAAAAAUUCAUUUUUGCAUUAUUGUGUGGUUUCUGGGCCCCACCCUCCCCACCCCAUGCCCCGCCAUGGGCUUCCUCUCCUUUCUUUAGUAUUAAUUUUAGCAAGAGAGGCCAUCUAUCUUAGGUUUCCCUUAAGAUGUCUGAAGGUUCAUUAGAUUUUUUUGGCCUUCUCUUCCCUGAUUAUUAUUUUGUUUCUCUGCAAGAAAAAACUUUUUUUUAACACUUUUAAUCUCCUCUUUAUCUUUCCUACAGAUUUUCUAUAAAUAAUACAUAUUUGAUAUUACUGAAGCAAAAGAAGUCUAAAGGGUCAUUCUUUCAAUAUUUAUAAAGUACCUACUAAGUGUUACGCACUGUGCUGGAUGCUUGGCUAGAUAAUAUGCUGUCCUUCUUCUGGUCUCUGUAUUUUUGUGUGUGUAUGUUUUAAGAAGAUGACAUUCUUCAACAUUGUAAGGUCAGUAAUCUGACAAAUGUAAUUUAGUAGUAUUGGGGCUCGGAAAAUGACACCCCAAAACAUGCUGAGAGCUUUGAACAAAGGAGAUUAAAAUGCUCCAGAACGAAGCCUCAGAACCAAUGUUUCUCUCUGACCUUCUGCUCCUUCCACAACUUCUCUGCUGAAGUGCAGGGAGGUCCUUUCUCUGAAGUUCCCUUAUCUGACUGAGGGAAGGAAGUUCUUCCAAAAGGAACACAAUGGUCUCGAAUCCUUUCCCUAGGAAACUCAUUAAGCAACCAGGAAAGAUUAAUCACCACAGAGGAGAUUAAUUCAUCACUGCAGGCAGACAGGCUAUCACCUAUUCUUUUGGAUGCAGCUCUAAAACAACUUUUAUCUGAAUAGUAAGACAGCCUUUGCUCAUCAUUUGGUUCCUCCCCUUUCCCUCCCCUAACUUGUUGCUACUUCCCCCCAAUGCUUCAGGUUCCCAUUCCUUUAUGCUAUUUACGUUUCAGCUAUCUGGCCCUUCUCAGAGUCUCACAUUUUAUUUGGCUCCUGUGCAUAUUAAUAAAUCUGUAUGUCUUUUCUCCAAUUAAUCUGUUCAUUAUCAGUUUAUUUCAACAGCCUCAAUUGACUCUUCAGAAGGUUAAACUUUUGUAGGCUAUUUUCCCCUUAAAAUGAACUAUAUUUCAUCUUCCCUCUUUAGGCCUACUUGUUGGUAAGCUAUAGAACAAGCUUGUCCAACUUGUGGCCCAUGGACCACAUGUAGCCCAAGAUGGCUUUGAAUGGGGCCCAACACAAAUUUGUAAACUUUCUUAAAAUAUCAUGGGUUUUUUUGCGAUAUAUAUAUAUACAUUUUAAAGCUCAUCAGUUACUGUUAUGGCCCAAGAAAAUUCUUCUUCCAAUGAGGCCCAGGAAAGCCAAAAGAUUGGACUCCCCUGCUAUAAAGUUUGGCUUUCAUGGAGGUAGUGGGGGAGGUGGUCCCAAAAUAGACCACUGAUUUGCCAAAUUUAAAAAUUAAGGGUUUUCAUAUUCAGAACCAAAAUUACUGUAAAGACUGACCUCACUGGUGAUGUCACAAUCACAUUUCAAAAACAAUAGAGUAUUUCCUGUGAUUUAAAUUCUAAAUCAAAAUUAUUCAUAGGCCAGUUCUAGAUUCUUUUGCUGUUCCCUUUCCCUCUACGGCAAGUCUUGCCAACAGGAUGAGACUCCCUUGUCAACUAUGAUGAUUAAUUUUACGUGUCAAUUUGAUUAGGCCACAGAGUGCCAAGAUACUUAGUCAAACAUUAUUCUGGGUGUUUCUGUGAAAGUGUUUUAAGAUGAGAUUAACACUUAAAUCAGUGGCAUGGAUAGACGGGAUUGCUUCCAUCAUGUUGGUGGGCCUCAUUCAGUCAGUUCAAGGCUUGAUUAGAACAAAAGGGCUGACCUUCACUUGACUAAGAGAAAAUUCUUUUUGCCUGACAGCCUUCAAACUGAGACAUUGCUUUUUUCUUGCCUUCAGACUUGAACUGAAACUUUGGCUCUUCCUGGGUCUUGAGCCUACUGGCCUUUGAACUGGAACAGCAACAUUGGCUCUCCUGGUUCUCAGACCUUUGGACUCAGACUGCAACUAAACCAUCAGCUUUCUUGGGUCUCCAGCUUGCCAGCUUACCUUGAAGCAGAUCUUGGGACUUAUCAGCUUCUGUAAUCACGUGAGCUAAUUUCAUAUAUAUAUAGCCUAUUCACUCUCUGGAGAACCCUCAUACACAGUUCUACUGCCUAUUCUCUAUCCCAUCUUCUACUGGGAGAAUGCAGAGAGGGAACCAAGAACAAAAUAUAAUGAGGAUCGUCUCCUUAAAAGAAAGCAAAUAGGGAGUGGGCUAAUAUUUUGGGAAGAAAGUCUCAUUAUGUGCCCAAAAAUUUUAUGUGAGGAAAUUAAAGCUCAGAAAGCUACAAUUUAUAUAAGAGCAGACAGCUAAUAAGAACCUGAUUAGCUAUCCCACCCACAGACACGUUUUAGGGAAAUAAAAUUUACAACAUAAUUUCCAUUUAUGUAUAGCCCUCCGGAAAAGUAGAGCAUCCUGGAAAAGGAACUCUCUAUGUCUUUAUAUCUGAGUUGCUGUUUUCUUUAUCUUCUGGGGUCUUUUCAGGAAUAUCUAAUAUAUUAAUAUAUGAUCUUCAUUUCUCACUGAUUUCUGUUGUGUUAUCCCUGCUAUGCUGCAGUUCAUUAAUAAGCACUCACCAUUUCUUUCGGCUGCCAUCUCUCGUGCUCUCUUUCUCAAUUCUUUGUGGAACUCAUCUCCAUUUGAUUACGAUACUUAGCUAACACUAUCAACAAUACAAUUAUUUCUGCUCUUUUCAAGAGUACUAUUCUUUUCAACCACCAGUGUCAGACUUUCCUUGCCCUGUUAGAAUCCUGAAUUCUAUACUCCAAACAGGUACUGUCUUGAGUGGUGCUACGGACUGAAUUACAUUCCCUCAAAAUUCAUAUGUUGAAACCCUAACUCCAUAUGUGAUGGUAUUUGAAGAUGGGACUUUUGGGAGAUAAUUAGGUUUAGAUGAGAUCUUAAGGGUGGGGCCUUCAUAACAGGAUUGCUACCCUUAUAAGAGAUACCAGAGAGCUUUCUGUCUUUCUCCUGUCCCUCUCUCUGCCAUGUGUGGGCACAGUGAGAAAGCUGUCUGCACGCCAGAAAGUGAACCCUCACCAGAACUCGACCAUACUGGCACCUUAAUCUCAGACUUCCAGCUGUCAGAACUGUGAGAAAUUAACUUUGUUAAGACACCCAGUCUAUGGUAUUUUUUUAUGCUAGCUCAAGCAGACUGAUAUAAAUGGGUUUAGCCAUCAUUAAUCACUGAGUUUUACUCAAAAUGCACACUAUUACAUCAUUUAUCACAGUUGAUUUAAAUAGUGUCAGGUGACUAGAAAUAGUUGUUGGACUUAAUAGACAUAUUAUUUCUUAAUUUGAAACCCAUGAAUAUCCCACUUUAGCCAACAUGAGCAUGCCAUUGAGAACUUCCUCAGAAAGAUAAUUGUGGCCCAAGGUAACCUGCAAGUUAACAGCAAACACACCAGGAAAAGACAGUAAUGGAGCUUAUUUCCUACUCUUGUUGCUGAUGAGAGAGAAGGGAAAAGGAAAAACUGAGAAGAGCCAGUAACUUUCUGCUGAAUCUGUCCUCCCAAGAGACAGCACAGGAUAGUUUAUCUCUAAGGGUCAGUCUUCUAAUCCAUAGGUUUCAGGAAUUAUAAAUUUCACAAACCAGCAAAAUUACUUUAAAAACUGGAAAAGAACCUUAUAGCUCUAGAGAACAAUGGUAGCUAAUGUUGAAUUCUCCCCACAUCCUACUAAAUGAAAUGAUAUACGAACAAAGAGAAUAAAUUAAACUUUAGAUGACCUAUGCAUUCACUAUUACUAGGAGACAGAAAACACUGCAGCCUUCAAGUCACCUCUAAGCAGAGAAGAAAAACUCCCAACAGAGAGCUCCUACUGCUCCCCUGAUGCUGUAAGCCUGUAAGUGUGGACAGUAGGCAAGGGAGUAAGGGAUUCUAUGAAAAGGAGUACAGGGUACAGACGACUUAGACAAAGCAAAGGAAAAAUUCUGCCUAAAAAGGGAAAGUGCAAUAUUAAAGUCCAAAAUUCUGAACACAGGUGAGUACUUGAUAGUUUACAACACUACUUACAUAUUAAGAAGCAAGACUGGAAGUGGAAGCUUUAGUGAAGCACUGCUUCCAGAGGACAAUGAGGCAGUAAAAGGGAAGAAUAAAAUAAGAAGGAAAGAUUAAAUCUCUGGUGAUAUAUAAAGAACAAGGCAUGCUGACCUCCUUCUUUUCCCAUUAUCAACAUAAUUCAUUUCAGCUGAUGAAAAUCUCCAUUUAUCUAAAAGAAAUUAAACAAAAACAAAAAUACAAGAAGCCAAUGAAAACUGUACCAGCACAUUCCAACUAAAUAUUCUCAAGCAUAUUUAAAAAACUGGACUGAAUCAGAAGUACAAGUACUAAAAACAGAGAAUAAAAUGCACAAAAAUAACAAGAAAUAAAAUGAGAGUUGAUUAAAUGCAAGAAAGAAAUAGAAAAACAUAUAUAACAAAAAUAAAAAUUAAACUACAAGGUGCUCUAAGAAGAUAUUUGGAUAAAGUAAUAGAGUCUUGAAGAAAAGCAGAAAAACAACCAUGAACUAUGAUCACAAAAAUGAGGUAGGCAAGGAGUAAAAAUGGCCAGAGAUAAAGUGAUUGAAAUGGAUGACAGGCAAAGAGGGUCCAACAUAUAUUUAAUUGAUGACCCAGGAAGACAAAAACAAUAGAGUAAAACUAAUAUUUUAAACUAUAA